AUGGAUUUGAGUAAGAGCGUAUAGCCUCGGACCCGAAAGAUGGUGAACUAUGCCUGAAUAGGGUGAAGCCAGAGGAAACUCUGGUGGAGGCUCGCAGCGGUUCUGACGUGCAAAUCGAUCGUCAAAUUUGGGCAUGGGGGCGAAAGACUAAUCGAACCAUCUAGUAGCUGGUUACCGCCGAAGUUUCCCUCAGGAUAGCAGUGUUGUUCUUCAGUUUUAUGAGGUAAAGCGAAUGAUUAGGGACUCGGGGGCGCUAUUUAGCCUUCAUCCAUUCUCAAACUUUAAAUAUGUAAGAAGCCCUUGUUACUUAAUUGAACGUGGGCAUUCGAAUGUACCAACACUAGUGGGCCAUUUUUGGUAAGCAGAACUGGCGAUGCGGGAUGAACCGAACGCGGGGUUAAGGUGCCAGAGUGGACGCUCAUCAGACACCACAAAAGGCGUUAGUACAUCUUGACAGCAGGACGGUGGCCAUGGAAGUCGGAAUCCGCUAAGGACUGUGUAACAACUCACCUGCCGAAUGUACUAGCCCUGAAAAUGGAUGGCGCUCAAGCGUCCCACCCAUACCCCGCCCUUAGGGUAGAAACGAUGCCCUAAGGAGUAGGCGGCCGUGGGGGUCAGUGACGAAGCCUAGGGCGUGAGCCCGGGUCGAACGGCCCCUAG
rnacentral:rRNA from 1 species